AUUGAACGCUAGCGGGAUGCCUAACACAUGCAAGUCGAACGAGUGGCGGACGGGUGAGUAAUAUAUGGGAACGUGCCCAGUAGCGGGGGAUAACUACUCGAAAGAGUGGCUAAUACCGCAUACCAUCGGAUCUGCCGAUAUUGGAUUAGCUAGUGGGUGGGGUAAAGGCUCACCUAGGCAACGAUCCGUAGCUGGUUUGAGAGGACGACCAGCCACGCUGGGACUGAGACACGGCCCAGACUCCUACGUGAGGCAGCAGUGGGGAAUUUUGGACAAUGGGGGAAACCCUGAUCCAGCCCUCCCGCGUGUAUGAGAAGGCCUUCGGGUUGUAAAGUACUUUUGGCAGAGAAGCGGUAUCUGCAGAAUAAGCACCGGCUAACUACGUGCCAGCAGCCGCGGUAAUAC
rnacentral:rRNA from 1 species